rnacentral:rRNA from 1 species
AUACGUAGGGUGCGAGCGUUGUCCGGAAUUACUGGGCGUAAAGAGCUCGUAGGUGGUUUGUCGCGUCGUCUGUGAAAUUCCGGGGCUUAACUCCGGGCGUGCAGGCGAUACGGGCAUAACUUGAGUACUGUAGGGGAGACUGGAAUUCCUGGUGUAGCGGUGAAAUGCGCAGAUAUCAGGAGGAACACCGGUGGCGAAGGCGGGUCUCUGGGCAGUAACUGACGCUGAGGAGCGAAAGCAUGGGUAGCGAACAGGAUUAGAUACCCUGGUAGUCCAUGCCGUAAACGGUGGGCGCUAGGUGUAGGGGUCUUCCACGACUUCUGUGCCGUAGCUAACGCAUUAAGCGCCCCGCCUGGGGAGUACGGCCGCAAGGCUGAAACUUAAAGGAAUUGACGGGG